GACGAACGCUGGCGGCGUGCCUAAUACAUGCAAGUCGAACGCAUUUUCUUUCACCGUAGCUUGCUACACCGAAAGAAAAUGAGUGGCGAACGGGUGAGUAACACGUGGGUAACCUGCCCAUCAGCGGGGGAUAACACUUGGAAACAGGUGCUAAUACCGCAUAAUUCCAUUUACCGCAUGGUAAAUGGAUGAAAGGCGCUUUUGCGUCACUGAUGGAUGGACCCGCGGUGCAUUAGCUAGUUGGUGGGGUUACGGCCUACCAAGGCUGCGAUGCAUAGCCGACCUGAGAGGGUGAUCGGCCACACUGGGACUGAGACACGGCCCAGACUCCUACGGGAGGCAGCAGUAGGGAAUCUUCGGCAAUGGACGCAAGUCUGACCGAGCAACGCCGCGUGAGUGAAGAAGGUUUUCGGAUCGUAAAACUCUGUUGUUAGAGAAGAACAAGGAUGAGAGUGGAAAGUUCAUCCCUUGACGGUAUCUAACCAGAAAGCCACGGCUAACUACGUG
rnacentral:rRNA from 1 species